GGAGGGGGAAUAGAGCCACUCGCUUUCCUCUAUAAUCGCGCGCUUCCCUCAGUUUCAGCUCCGUCCGGAGGCCAAAGACGGAGAGGGAUGCGACGACUCCGCUGGGGUUUCGUCUCGAUCCGAACUCGGGUCCAUUCUCUCUUGUCGGAUUGUGCUAAAAAGUUGGGGUGAUGACUACAAUGGGCCCAGUCAAGAUUAGCUGCUGCAAUCUCACACUUGCUCCAUUUUGGCUGGUGGGGUUCAUCUGACUCACGCACUGGGAUCGCAUCUGUUCCAAUACCCUUUGGACACUGAAGGUGGUGGUGGGUUCACUGGAUAAUUUGGAGCAGCUACUGAAGAAUCUGAUUCUGUCAAAGGAUAGCUGGGGUCACUAAUAUUUGAUCUGAGAUGUGUCCCUCUGAGGUCCACUUACCUAAUUAUUCCACGCAUAGAUUUGCCCUCUCAUCAGAGUGCAUGCAUCACUUAGUGGGAGAGUUCGAACGAUCUGGGGGUAUCUGUACGGUCGAAAGGGUUAUCUACAGCUUCAUUCAGAGCAUAGGCACAAAUUUGCCCAUGGAGGUUUUC